rnacentral:rRNA from 1 species
AUAAGGGCGUACGGAGGAUGCCUUGACACUAAAAGGCGAUGAAGGUCGUGGCGUGUCUGCGAUAAGCUUCGGGGAGGCGACUAGCAACCAUUGAUCCGGAGAUAACCGAAUGGGGAAACCCAAUCAUGUGAACCAUGAUUAUCUCGCGCAAGCGAGAAGUAUACCUGGUGAAGUGAAACAUCUUAGUAACCAGAGGAAAAGAAAUAGAAUAGAUACCGUAAGUAGCGGCGAGCGAAAGCGGCAUAGCCUAAACCGAUGCAUAGCAUCGGGAAUCUCUAAUAUCGAAUUUCUAAACUCUAAACAAUAUCAAAAUCCAAAAUUAAAAAUUUGGGAUUUGUUUAGGAUUUAGAGAUUAGGAUUUAGGAUUUCCGCUGCUGUGCAGCGGUGUAAUAGGGAUGAUACACUUGAAUUUUUAAUAUCGAUUUUUUUGAAAUCGGUAUUAAAAAUUUAUAAGAAGUUAAAAAUUUGGGUGUUAGCAGGAUAAGGCUAAAUACUUUUAGUGAUCGAUAGUGAACAAGUACCGUGAGGGAAAGGUGAAAAGCACCCCGGUGAGGGGAGUGAAAUAGUAACUGAAACCGUAUGCCUACAAAGAGCAGGAGCUGGUGCUGCGCACUGGAAAUUCGAAGCACGAAUAUCGAAAUUCUGACCCAACGAGUUUAUCUAAAUUGCCAACUAUAAGUCCUAAUCGGACGGAUAGGUAGGGAAACCGAGUGUUAAAAGCGCGACUCUAACUUAACUAACAACUUACGACUUUGCAGAAAUGUUCAGUUGUUCGUUGUUAGUUACGUUAGUAAGCAGUUUGGAUAAGACCCGAAGCCAGGCGAGCUAACCAUGACCAGGGUGAAGCUCUGCGAAAGCGGAGUGGAGGCCCGAACUAGUUGGUCGCUCAAUGCCAUUGGAUGAGUUGUGGUUGGAAGUGAAAAGCUUAUCGAGCUUGGUAAUAGCUGGUUCUCUCCGAAAUGCGUUUAGGCGCAGCGGUAUAUAGUAGCAGGAGGGGUAGAGCACUGAAUGGUUUGUCGUGCCCUUUUGGGUAGACUUACCAAACAAACUCCGAAUACUCCUGUGGAAUGUAUACCAGUGAGUACGCGAGGGCAAAGCUUCGUGUACGCGAGGGAAAGAGCCCAGAUCACAAAUUAAGGUCCCUAAAUUUAUGCUAAGUGUUAAAGGAAGUAUUUUGCCUUAGACAGGUAGGAGGUUGGCUUAGAAGCAGCCACCCUUUAAAGAGUGCGUAAUAGCUCACUACUCGACGUUGUCGCAAGAU